GAUCAGUAGAAAUUUAGCAACACUCGAGGACGCAUCGUAUAAAAAGGACAAAGACGAUACGAUAUUACUUUUCGCUUUACAAGAAAAUUUCAUUUAUAGAUAUUAAUUUUAUGUAUCGUUGGUUUUCAAGAUAUCUUUUAAAUAUGCUUAGCUUUAUUAUUUCUUCAAAAUUAAAUCGGAUAAUCGUCGAAUUACGAGAAUAAGUGAGAAAGAGAGAGUGAGAGUAAGAGAGUGAGAGAGUGAGAGAGUGAGAGAGUGAGAGAGUGAGAGAGUGAUUUUCUUUUUGAAUUUAUAAUAUUUAGCGUGUGACGAUAUAUUUUUUUAAUACAUAUGUAUCGAACACUUAUGUAUUCCUAGAUAUGAUAUGUAAAUAAUGUAUAAUUUUAUUUUAUUACUAAUUAUGUUAAAGGAAUACACAUGGAGACGUGAGAAACGUUUUAUUUUUAAGGAAAGAAUGUUAUAUAAUCCAGGAGUCGUAUAAUAUAAAUAAUCAACGACAGAUGGCGCAUCGAUAGAAGAAUUAGUUUCGAUCGUAAUAAAUCACGUUCGGUGAUGUUAUCCGUAGAAUAAUUCUUUUAUUUUAUCAAUUGUCGUUGAUCAUAGUUUCUUGAAGAUCUUCAAUUAGUGUUCAAUCAAAUAGAAAAAUAGAUAAAAUUCAAGGGACAAUAUUGACGAAGAGAAUCAAUGUGUAUAUAUAUGUUUUUUUUUUAUAUGCAUAAAGUGUUACGCGUUUUGUAACUUAGGUUAGCUUUGUUAUAAAGUAAGGUUAGGUUUGUUAAAAAAUACGCUACAAAUGCGUACACCUGUUUGUAUAGAAAAAAAUACGUACUUACGAUCUUUACAUCGUUUCUAUUUUUCUUUUUCUUUUUUUUUUGUUACAUCACUAGUGCAUACGUCCUGGUAUUACUACUCCUUCGUGCUAUACGUGACAAGGAAUACAGAAGAAUCAUUUGUAUGGUGAUCAAGAGCAACAUAUUUUCUCGAUUUAAUGACGCUUUGCUAAUAAUGGCUCUCAUCGAUAUAGAACAAACCGUAUGUUGGCGAUCCCGUUCGGUGUCCAAUAGGACUCGAAAGGCAUGCGUUCGUUCUUUUGAUCGGCCAAGAAGACGUAGCCUAUUCUCGGCCUAGCUUACGAUCGGCCGAGAAGAGAAGAUGAAAAGUCGAAAGUCUUGGAGAAGAGGCGAAGUGGAAAGGAAGAGGAAGAGGAAGAAGAAGAAGAAGAAGAAAGAGGAGAAGGAGGAGGAUGAAGAAAAGAAGGCCGGGAGGCGCGGCAGUGCGUGUCAGAGCUCUCGGUUCUCAUAAUACAGCGCCUUUCAAACAGCCCGACAACGACGACAACGACAACGACGACGAAGACGACGACGACGACGACGACGACGACGACGUUGUGGUGCUGCUGGUGCUGGUACUGUUUCUCUGCCGGCGCAUCGCCUGCAUUUCUUUUCCAUACCUUUUUUUACUUUUUUCUUUUCUUUCCUUUUCUUUUCUUUUCGUUUCGUUUCGUUUCUUUUCUUGUUGCUGCUCUCGCGUCUUACAGUUUUUCUUUCUUUCUUUUGCUCUCGCGCUACGUCUUCUUGGCUCUCUCCACGAGUUUCUGUACAACACGAGCCCGGGUCGCUGGCAGAGUGCCGACGUCGCCUACGGCGAUGUCAUUCCUCAUCCGGAGGCAAGAGAGAAACAGAGAACGUAUAGAUCUGUAUACCAAAGAAGAUUCUUAAUCAUCAUCAUCAUCGUCAUCGUCAUUGUCAUCAUCAUCAUCAUGAAAGAAACUCGAGAGUUACAUACUGUUGGCGCUCCCUUCGUCGUUCUCGAUACUGAUGCGGUCACUUGACAAAGACCGAAGAACGCGGGACAUGUUAGAACGGAAGGAGAGAAGGAGGGUUGAAAGAGGCACGUGCUUAGCGCCGGAUCGCAUCACGCCCGAGCUUCGUGGAUGGGGAUUAGAGGCAAUACUCCGGAGAUUUGGAAAAGGGAUGGAAAAUGGUACGUCGUCAGGCAGAAUUCCCAGUCGCGCGACCAAAAGUUUGAACGAUCGUGCAACAGUUGACGCACCCUCCUCGUCCAUUCUGGAAAUCCGCCCCUAUCGAUGUUGGAGGACGAGCUACGUUGGAGAACGCGCGUGCUAGAAAGAGAGGGAGGGAGAGAGGGACAGAGAGAGAGAGAGAGAGAGAGAGAGAUAUCGAUGAAGGCGUAAUACUAUGUCGGAUGGAAGGGUAUCGUCUACUUCGUUCAAGUUGCUCCAGCAAUGCGGCAGAAGAAGAAGCCGAACGAAAGGCGAACCAGAUUUCAUCGACGUAAUCGUCGUCGCUCUUUCAAAGGCGAGCCGUGAUUAAAACUAACCCCUUUGCUAGAAAAGCUCCAACGAUCGAUCGCGCCUUCCUAACACGAACACCCGGUAUAUGAGAACGCGUAUCGCACGGUACGCAUUAAAGAGGACCGAGUCUUAAAGAGGAUAAAACCGAACGAUUAUUUCAAUCAGAAAGAGAUAUCAGGAAGAGAU